UAGUGGGCCAAUCACCUGGAGGUUUCUAAACUUUAGUCGAUGAGUUGCUGAAUACUCAUUCCUGGAGGCAUCUCCCAACAAAUCAAGUUAAACCUAGUGAGGGUUCGCUCUCUCAAAUGCCUAUCUGCAUAUUCUAGCUACCUUAUUAUAGGUUUCUUAACUCUAUCCGACACAUUCCUGAAGGCUUUGUUCAAUAUCCGGACCAACCUAGUUUUUUCUCGCUCUCUCAAG